CUCACUGUCUUCAGUCACUAUUUACACACCAGAGGACACUAUUUACACACUAUUUACAAGUCAGUUUAUCAGUUUUAAUUCAACAACUUCCUUCUUUUGGCAGCCAGCUGUGUCAAUCUUUGAACAGCUUUCCUCUUCAGUUCCUGUUGUCUUCUUUCUGCAUCUUGGCAGCCCCUCUCAUAUUCACACACAGAUUUCUGUCAACUGGUGUGUGCAGUUUCGCUAGCUCCUUUGCAGUAUGGAUAAUAACAGGCACCAAUGACAAGGGAAGGCUGUGCUCAGCAAGAACUCCAAGAACCAGUGCCUGAAAAAAAUUUAACUCCAUUAAAGAAAUGUCUUUGCAACAGAA